rnacentral:rRNA from 1 species
AGCGAACGCUGGCGGCAGGCUUAACACAUGCAAGUCGAGCGGGCAUCCUUGUGGUGUCAGCGGCAGACGGGUGGGUAACGCGUGGGAACGUGCCCUUCGGUUCGGAAUAACUCAGGGAAACUUGAGCUAAUACCGGAUACGUGCGAGAGCAGAAAGGUUUAUCUGCCGAAGGAUCGGCCCGCGUCUGAUUAGCUAGUUGGUGAGGUUACGGCUCACCAAGGCGACGAUCAGUAGCUGGUCUGAGAGGAUGAUCAGCCACACUGGGACUGAGACACGGCCCAGACUCCUACGGGAGGCAGCAGUGGGGAAUAUUGGACAAUGGGGGCAACCCUGAUCCAGCCAUGCCGCGUGAGUGAUGACGGCCUUAGGGUUGUAAAGCUCUUUUCUCCGGGACGAUAAUGACGGUACCGGAGGAAUAGGCCCCGGCUAACUUCGUG